GAUGAACGCUAGCUACAGGCUUAACACAUGCAAGUCGAGGGGCAGCAUGGUCUUAGCUUGCUAAGGCCGAUGGCGACCGGCGCACGGGUGAGUAACACGUAUCCAACCUGCCGUCUACUCUUGGACAGCCUUCUGAAAGGAAGAUUAAUACAAGAUGGCAUCAUGAGUUCACAUGUUCACAUGAUUAAAGGUAUUCCGGUAGACGAUGGGGAUGCGUUCCAUUAGAUAGUAGGCGGGGUAACGGCCCACCUAGUCUUCGAUGGAUAGGGGUUCUGAGAGGAAGGUCCCCCACAUUGGAACUGAGACACGGUCCAAACUCCUACGGGAGGCAGCAGUGAGGAAUAUUGGUCAAUGGGCGCAGGCCUGAACCAGCCAAGUAGCGUGAAGGAUGACUGCCCUAUGGGUUGUAAACUCCUUUUUAAUAAAGGAAUAAAGUCGGGUAUGUAUACCCGUUUGCAUGUACUUAUGAUAAGGAUCGGCUAACUCCGUGCCAG
rnacentral:rRNA from 1 species